GGCAGCGGGAGACGCCUUGUUCCGGGCUGUCAUUGGCACGACGCCAAGGCAGUGGGCACAGAUUUCUGGGUCACCCAGCAGAUGGCAGGUCCAGUCAGAGUUUGGUGCUUUCUUUAGAUGUGUUACAUGAAUUUAAAAGGAGUCUAUUCUCUGGAGUUUGGCAGCACAAGUGUUGUGGGGCCUUCCUGGAGCUGCAUUUGUGUGAGAUGAAGACUGAUAUCCAGCAGCUGAAGGCCACCAUAUCUGGUUCUCUUCCUUAUCAAGACACCAUCUUCCCAUCAUCUGGAUCUGCAGCUCCCAAGGAAGCAAUAAUCCUGGAAAACUACUGAGGUGGAGUUGGAGAAGAUCCUCAAGAUAUUUAAAAAAGUGAAAAACCCAAUCAGAGGGAAGUUUUAAGACCCACCUGGGAAGACUGCACGGCUACAUGAUCACUAUGAUGGCUCAGAGAAAAUAAAGAAAAAUGCAGAUCUGGAUCAAGGAAAAGUGAGCAGGCUGGAUGUUUAAAAUGACAUGAAAAAAGGCUUUUUUUUUUUUUUUUUUUGAAAUUGAAGGCUUCUCUUCCAUUCUUACUCCACAUAGUCCUAGAUGUCCUAGCUGGAGCAAUU